rnacentral:rRNA from 1 species
UACGUAGGGGGCGAGCGUUGUCCGGAAUCAUUGGGCGUAGAGAGCGUGUAGGCGGCUUGGCAAGUCUGACGUGAAAGCCCGCGGCUCAACCGCGGAUUGUCGUUGGAAACUGCCUCGCUAGAGUCCGGAAGAGGAGAGCGGAAUUCCUGGUGUAGCGGUGGAAUGCGCAGAUAUCAGGAAGAACACCCGUGGCGAAGGCGGCUCUCUGGGACGGUACUGACGCUGAGACGCGAAAGCGUGGGGAGCGAACAGG